GACGAACGCUGGCGGCGUGCUUAACACAUGCAAGUCGAACGGAAAGGCCCUGCUUUUGUGGGGUGCUCGAGUGGCGAACGGGUGAGUAACACGUGAGUAACCUGCCCUUGACUUUGGGAUAACUUCAGGAAACUGGGGCUAAUACCGGAUAGGAGCUCCUGCUGCAUGGUGGGGGUUGGAAAGUUUCGGCGGUUGGGGAUGGGCUCGCGGCUUAUCCGCUUGUUGGUGGGGUAGGGGCUUACCAAGGCUUUGACGGGUAGCCGGCCUGAGAGGGUGACCGGCCACAUUGGGACUGAGAUACGGCCCAGACGCCUACGGGAGGCAGCAGGGGGGAAUAUUGCACAAUGGGCGGAAGUCUGAGGCAGAAACGCCGCGUGCGGGAUGACGGGCUUCGGGUUGUAAACCGCUUUCGCCUGUGACGAAGCGUGAGUGACGGUAAUGGGUAAAGAAGCACCGGCUAACUACGUG
rnacentral:rRNA from 1 species